AGGUUUAACACCAAAUCAUUAUUUUUUUCACUUACAGCUUCCUGGGUUGGCUCUGACUCUGCUCCGCUUGACUACAGAAUGCAGAUUGGAUGCAGUUCUGCUCUGUGCAUUUCUCCUUCUCUGGCUUUCCAGUGCACAUUCUUCCCAUAGUAAAUGACAGAAGAGCAAGAACAAGACAACAGGCUAAAGCAGAGUCUCCACCUCCCUCCUUAUUAUAUGAAUGAUUUGAUAAAGUGAAGAGAUCCGGUGUUUGGUCAGCCAUUCAUUUCAUUCCCAAACAUUUCCCUUCAACAUCUGUUUGAAAUUUCUAGAGGCUGUAAGACUGAAAGUCUGAGACCAGGGUGCCAGCAUGAUCGAGUUCUGGUGAGGUCCCUCUUCUGACUGCAGACAGCUGACUUUUCGCUAUAUGGUCACAUGAUGAAAAGAGAUUGCGAGAACUCUCUGUGGUCCCUUUGUAGGGGAACUAACCAGGCU